CCUACGGGUGGCAGCAGUGGGGAAUAUUGCACAAUGGGGAAAACCCUGAUGCAGCGACGCCGCGUGAGUGAAGAAGUAUCUCGGUACGUAAAGCUCUAUCAGCAGGGAAGAAAAUGACGGUACCUGACUAAGAAGCCCCGGCUAACUACGUGCCAGCAGCCGCGGUAAUACGUAGGGGGCAAGCGUUAUCCGGAUUUACUGGGUGUAAAGGGAGCGUAGACGGCAGCACAAGUCUGGAGUGAAAUCCCGGGGCUUAACCCCGGAACUGCUUUGGAAACUGGUCGGCUGGAGUGCAGGAGGGGGAAGCGGAAUUCCUGGUGUAGCGGGGAAAUGCGUAGAUAUUAGGAGGAACACCGGUGGCGAGGGCGGCUUACUGGACUGUAACGGACGUUGAGGCGCGAAAGCGUGGGGAGCAAACAGGAUUAGAUACCCCUGUAGUC
rnacentral:rRNA from 1 species